rnacentral:lncRNA from 1 species
GAAUGAAACUUAUUUUCUGCUGAACAAAUGAGUGUGUGUAAACUGUACUUAAGGAUUGGGUCCACAUCUUUCUGAGUAGUUUAUAUCCUUUCCACGGAAUUUGAGAAACAAUGUCUAACUAUGUCUCUACUACUUAAAAGUUGCCAUUUCUCCAGGAGACAAAUUUCUGAACAGAACAGUAAUAGCUCAGGCACUAAAAUCAACAAUCAAUAAAUGGAACUUCAUGAAACUGAAAAGCUUCUCUAAAGCAAAGAUUUUAGUGUACAGAAUUGUUUUAACUAUCCUGUUUUUUUUUCAUAUGAAAUUGAGAUUUGUUCUUUCAAGGUUUAUAAAGAAUUGUGUUGGAAGUUUGAUGGGAAUUGCCUUAUUCAUAAUAGCCAGAAACUGGAAGCAACCCAGAUGUCCCUCAACUGAAGAAUGGAUACAGAAAAUGUGAUUCAUUUACACAAUGGAAUACUAUUCAGCUAUUAAAAACAAAAGCAUUAUGAAUUUUGCAGGCAAAUGCAUGAAACUUGAGAAUAUCAUCCUGAGUGAGACAAGAACCUAGCAUAUUUGUCUCUCGAGAGGCUUUAUCCAGCAGCAGAUGGAGGCAGAUGCAGAGAUACACAGCCAGACAUCAGGAGAAGCUCCAGGUGCCUUGUGGAAGAGUGGGGGAUAGAAAUGAUCAAGCCAGAGAGAUCAAGAACACCCAAAGAAAACCUACAGAAUCAACUAACAUGGGCCCACGGGAGAUCACAGAGACUGAACUACUAACCAAAGAGCAGACAGAGGCUGGAUCUAAGACCCCUACACAUUUAGAGUAGAGGUGCAACUUGUCCUCAUGUGGGUCCUCUAUCAAUUGGAAUGGGGGCUGUCCCUGAUUGUGUUCCCUGUCACUGGAUCCUCUUCUCCUACCUUGACUACCUGGUUGGGCCUCAGUGGGAGAAGAUGUGCUUAGUCCUGCUGGGACUAGAUGUCUCAAGGCAGGGUGGUACCCUAGGGGGCGGGGUCCACUUCUUUGAUGCAAAGGGGGAGGAGUAAUGGGGGGAGGGACUUACAUGGGUAGGACUGGGAGGAGAGAAUUAAGACCGGCUGUUAUCAGGAUGUACAGUGAAAAAAUAGAUAAAUUAACC